UUAUAUUUUUAUUACUAAAAAAAAAAGGGAAAAAACAGCAAAUAAAAAAACUUCUUCUUACUAAUUGCUGGAAACUCCUGUUUAAUAGGACAAUCAGCAGGAGCCUGCUGUAUAUGUUUAUACAGUAGGGUUCUUCAGAGACUACACGUAAGAUAUCCUAGAAUCAUUAAAUAAAUAGGAUAAAGAUAUAGUCCGCUCUUAAUAGAAAUAUUAAG
rnacentral:ncRNA from 1 species